AUUGAACGCUGGCGGCGUGCCUAAUACAUGCAAGUCGAGCGCAGGAAGCUGACGGAACUCUUCGGAGGGAAGGCAGUGGAAUGAGCGGCGGACGGGUGAGUAACACGUAAGGAACCUGCCUCAAGGAUUGGGAUAACUCCGAGAAAUCGGAGCUAAUACCGGAUAGUUCAACGGACCGCAUGGUCCGCUGAUGAAAGGCGCUUCGGCGUCACCUUGAGAUGGCCUUGCGGUGCAUUAGCUAGUUGGUGGGGUAACGGCCCACCAAGGCGACGAUGCAUAGCCGACCUGAGAGGGUGAUCGGCCACACUGGGACUGAGACACGGCCCAGACUCCUGCGGGAGGCAGCAGUAGGGAAUCUUCCACAAUGGACGAAAGUCUGAUGGAGCAACGCCGCGUGAGUGAUGAAGGUUUUCGGAUCGUAAAACUCUGUUGUAAGGGAAGAACACGUACGAGAGGGAAUGCUCGUACCUUGACGGUACCUUACGUGAAAGCCACGGCUAACUACGUGCCAGCAGCCGCAGUAA
rnacentral:rRNA from 1 species